UCCUCCAUAGAGACCCUGCAGAGGGCCUUGACAAAAUCAAUUAUUGCCUCACUGUUUAGUUUUUGGCUCCGAGUGAAAAUACGGUUCAUUUCAGAGCUUCCCACUUGUUCCAACAUGUUUAAAUUAGAGACUAAAUUGUUCAUCUGUUCAGAUGUGACUGUCCCAACUGCCACCAAUACCAGCACUAUCAUAAGAACCUCUCAUCACUGCAGCUGCUGCAUACUGCAUCCUCCCAGGCCCCUUCUUUUUCAAAACAGGAAGGAUAGUUGAUUUGGCUUGUUUUGUCUUGUCAGAAUCAUUCUGAGGAAAAGCAAAAAAUGUAGCAUCCGGGGGAGCACCCUCACCCAAUAGAUGCAAAUGCUCAAAGCGUGAGACACAUGUUAA
rnacentral:misc_RNA from 1 species